UGGGGAAUAUUGGACAAUGGGCGAAAGCCUGAUCCAGCCAUGCCGCGUGUGUGAAGAAGGUCUUCGGAUUGUAAAGCACUUUAAGUUGGGAGGAAGGGCAGUAAGCGAAUACCUUGCUGUUUUGACGUUACCGACAGAAUAAGCACCGGCUAACUCUGUGCCAGCAGCCGCGGUAAUACAGAGGGUGCAAGCGUUAAUCGGAAUUACUAGGCGUAAAGCGCGCGUAGGUGGUUCGUUAAGUUGAAUGUGAAAGCCCCGGGCUCAACCUGGGAACUGCAUCCAAAACUGGCGAGCUAGAGUAGGGCAGAGGGUGGUGGAAUUUCCUGUGUAGCGGUGAAAUGCGUAGAUAUAGGAAGGAACACCAGUGGCGAAGGCGACCACCUGGGCUCAUACUGACACUGAGGUGCGAAAGCGUGGGGAGCAAACAGG
rnacentral:rRNA from 1 species